rnacentral:rRNA from 1 species
GAUGAACGCUAGCGACAGGCUUAACACAUGCAAGUCGAGGGGCAGCAUAAAAGUUACUUCGGUAAUUUUGGUGGCGACCGGCGCACGGGUGAGUAACGCGUGGGCAACCUGCCCUAUACCGGGGGACAACAGCUGGAAACGGCUGCUAAUACCGCAUAAGCGCACAGAGUCGCAUGGCUCAGUGUGAAAAACUCCGGUGGUAUAGGAUGGACCCGCGUCCGAUUAGCUAGUUGGUAGUGUAAUGGACUACCAAGGCGACGAUCGGUAGCCGGCCUAGGAGGGCGGACGGCCACAUUGGGACUGAGACACGGCCCAGACUCCUGCGGGAGGCAGCAGUGGGGGAUAUUGCACAAGGGGGGAAACCCUGAUGCAGCGACGCCGCGUGAGUGAAGAAGUAUUUCGGUAUGUAAAGCUCUAUCAGCAGGGAAGAAAAUGACGGUACCUGACUAAGAAGCCCCGGCUAACUACGUGCCAGCAGCCGCCGUAAAAC